rnacentral:rRNA from 1 species
UACGGAGGGUGCAAGCGUUAUCCGGAUUCACUGGGUUUAAAGGGUGCGUAGGUGGGCAGUUAAGUCAGUGGUGAAAUCUUCGAGCUUAACUCGGAAACUGCCAUUGAUACUAAUUGUCUUGAAUGCCCUGGAGGUGAGCGGAAUAUGUCAUGUAGCGGUGAAAUGCUUAGAUAUGACAUAGAACACCAAUUGCGAAGGCAGCUCACUACGGGGAUAUUGACACUGAGGCACGAAAGCGUGGGGAUCAAACAGGAUUAGAUACCCUGGUAGUCCACGCCCUAAACGAUGGAUACUCGACAUCAGCGAUACACUGUUGGUGUCUGAGCGAAAGCAUUAAGUAUCCCACCUGGGAAGUACGAUCGCAAGAUUG